AACGCUGGCGGCGGCCUAAACAUGCAAGUCGAGCGGUCGUAGCAAUACGGCAGCGGCAGACGGGAGAGUAACACGUGGGAACGUGCCCUUCGGUUCGGAACAACCCAGGGAAACUUGGGCUAAUACCGGAUACGCCCUAACGGGGAAAGAUUUAUCGCCGAAGGAUCGGCCCGCGUCUGAUUAGCUAGUUGGUGGGGUAACGGCCCACCAAGGCGACGAUCAGUAGCUGGUCUGAGAGGAUGAUCAGCCUCACUGGGACUGAGACACGGCCCAGACUCCUACGGGAGGCAGCAGUGGGGAAUAUUGGACAAUGGGCGCAAGCCUGAUCCAGCCAUGCCGCGUGGGUGAUGAAGGCCCUAGGGUUGUAAAGCCCUUUCGGCGGGGAAGAUAAUGACGGUACCCGCAGAAGAAGCCCCGGCUAACUUCGUGCCAGCAGCCGCGGUAAUACGAAGGGGGCUAGCGUUGCUCGGAAUCACUGGGCGUAAAGCGCACGUAGGCGGCUUCUUAAGUCAGGGGUGAAAUCCUGGAGCUCAACUCCAGAACUGCCUUUGAUACUGAGGAGCUC
rnacentral:rRNA from 1 species